rnacentral:rRNA from 1 species
AGAGUUUGAUCAUGGCUCAGGAUGAACGCUAGCGGGAGGCCUAACACAUGCAAGCUGAGCGGUAUUUGUCUUUCGGGACAGAGAGAGCGGCGUACGGGUGCGUAACACGUGUGCAACCUGCCUUUAUCAGGAGGAUAGCCUUUCGAAAGGAAGAUUAAUACUCCAUAAUAUAUUAAUUGGCAUCAAUUGAUAUUGAAAACUCCGGUGGAUAAAGAUGGGCACGCGCAAGAUUAGAUAGUUGGUGAGGUAACGGCUCACCAAGUCGAUGAUCUUUAGGGGGCCUGAGAGGGUGAUCCCCCACACUGGUACUGAGACACGGACCAGACUCCUACGGGAGGCAGCAGUGAGGAAUAUUGGACAAUGGGUUAGCGCCUGAUCCAGCCAUCCCGCGUGAAGGAUUAAGGACCUAUGGUUUGUAAACUUCUUUGUACAGGGAUAAACCUACCCUCGUGAGGGUAGCUGAAGGUACUGUACGAAUAAGCACCGGCUAACUCCGUG